rnacentral:sRNA from 1 species
UUUUAGCCCCGAUUGCAGUGGAAAUCCUUGUAUGCCGGCGUUCGGCAUACAAGAUUGAAACGAAAAUCGGGAGAAUGC